rnacentral:rRNA from 1 species
CAAGAUUAAAACUCAAAGGAAUUGACGGGGACCCGCACAAGCGGUGGAUGAUGUGGAUUAAUUCGAUGCAACGCGAAAAACCUUACCUACCCCUGACAUGUCAGGAACCUCGGAGAGAUCCGAGGGUGCUCGAAAGAGAACCUGAACACAGGUGCUGCAUGGCUGUCGUCAGCUCGUGUCGUGAGAUGUUGGGUUAAGUCCCGCAACGAGCGCAACCCUUGUCAUUAGUUGCUACGAAAGGGCACUCUAAUGAGACUGCCGGUGACAAACCGGAGGAAGGUGGGGAUGACGUCAAGUCCUCAUGGCCCUUAUGGGUAGGGCUUCACACGUCAUACAAUGGUACAUACAGAGGGCCGCCAACCCGCGAGGGGGAGCUAAUCCCAGAAAGUGUAUCGUAGUCCGGAUUGUAGUCUGCAACUCGACUACAUGAAGUUGGUAAUCGCUAGUAAU